UAGGGAAUCUUCGGCAAUGGGGGGAACCCUGACCGAGCAACGCCGCGUGAGUGAAGAAGGUUUUCGGAUCGUAAAGCUCUGUUGUUAAGGAAGAACGAGUGUGAGAAUGGAAAGUUCAUACUGUGACGGUACUUAACCAGAAAGGGACGGCUAACUACGUGCCAGCAGCCGCGGUAAUACGUAGGUCCCGAGCGUUGUCCGGAUUUAUUGGGCGUAAAGCGAGCGCAGGCGGUUAGAUAAGUCUGAAGUUAAAGGCAGUGGCUCAACCAUUGUAGGCUUUGGAAACUGUUUAACUUGAGUGCAGAAGGGGAGAGUGGAAUUCCAUGUGUAGCGGUGAAAUGCGUAGAUAUAUGGAGGAACACCGGUGGCGAAAGCGGCUCUCUGGUCUGUAACUGACGCUGAGGCUCGAAAGCGUGGGGAGCGAACAGGAUUAGAUACCCUGGUAGUCCACGCCGUAACGAUGAAUGCUAGGUGUUAGGUCCUUUCCGGGACUUAGUGCCGCAGCUAACGCAUUAAGCACUCCGCCUGGGGAGUACGACCGCAAGGUU
rnacentral:rRNA from 1 species